rnacentral:lncRNA from 1 species
AUACUACCUACUCCCCAUCAUCAAAUGACAUCCAUAAACAGAUAAUCAAAAAGAAAAAAGAAAUUUUUCAAUAUGGAGACAAGCUCAGUUACUUUUCCUAAAAAGUAACUUCACCACCAAGCAACCAAGAAGAUGCUUCACCAAAAAAUCACCAACCAGGUGAUUCACCUCCAAAGUUAAUUAAUUACUUAGCCAGUAAGUUACUUUAGCAUGAAGUUGAUUUGCCACCAAGUUACUUCAUCAACAAGCAAAAUAACCACCUCAGCACCC